UUGGUUUGCUCUCAUGAGACCAGUGUUGCC
rnacentral:piRNA from 1 species